rnacentral:rRNA from 1 species
CUUUUAUUUCGGUAAGAGCCUAGUGGCAAACGGGUGAGUAACGCGUAGGCAACCUACCUUCAAGAUGGGGACAACAUUCCGAAAGGGGUGCUAAUACCGAAUGUUAUAAAAGCUUUGCAUGAAGCUUUUAUCAAAGAUGGCUUUGGCUAUUACUUGGAGAUGGGCCUGCGUCUGAUUAGCUAGUUGGUGACGGUAACGGCGCACCAAGGCGACGAUCAGUAGCCGGUCUGAGAGGAUGGACGGCCACAUUGGGACUGAGACACGGCCCAGACUCCUACGGGAGGCAGCAGUGGGGAAUCUUCCGCAAUGGGCGAAAGCCUGACGGAGCAACGCCGCGUGAACGAGGAAGGUCUUCGGAUCGUAAAGUUCUGUUGCAAGGGACGAAUGGCAAUAUCGCUAAUAUCGGUAAUGCAUGACGGUACCUUGUUAGAAAGCCACGGCUAACUACGUGCCAGCAGCCGCGGUAAUACGUAGGCGGCAAGCGUUGUCCGGAAUCAUUGGGCGUAAAGGGAGCGCA